rnacentral:rRNA from 1 species
CCUACGGGUGGCAGCAGUAGGGAAUCUUUCACAAUGGGCGAAAGCCUGAUGGAGCAACGCCGCGUGCAGGAUGAAGGCCUUCGGGUUGUAAACUGCUUUUAUAAGCGAGAAAUAUGAUGGUAACUUAUGAAUAAGGAUCGGCUAACUACGUGCCAGCAGCCGCGGUCAUACGUGGGAUCCGAGCAUUAUCCGGAGUGACUGGGUGUAAAGAGUUGCGUAGGUGGGAUAAUAAGUAGCUAGUGAAAUCUGGUGGCUCAACCAUUCAGACUAUUAGCUAAACUGUUAAGCUCGAGACCGUUAGGGGUAACUGGAAUUUCUAGUGUAGGAGUGAAAUGCGUAGAUAUUAGAAGGAACACCAAUAGCGUAGGCAGGUUACUGGGACGGUUCUGACACUAAGGCACGAAAGCGUAGGGAGCAAACGGGAUUAGAUACCCUUGUAGUC